GCGUGUGUAAUCACCAAAACUGCAGUUGUGGAGGCUCCUCGUUAUGUAACCCAAACUCUGACCCAGCCUGUCUACGUCACGGAUUACCAGACUAAGUACCAGACCCAGUAUCAAACCCAGUACCAGACCCAGUAUGUUACAAAAGUAGAGCAGGUGCCCGUGUACCAUACGAAGACAGUGCCCCAGUACUAUACCAAGACGCAGCAAGUGGCAAACUAUAUCACUCAGACAGUUCCCAGCUACAUUACCAAAACUGUCAAGCAGCCUUAUUACGUCACUAGACCUUGCAAAAUAACAGCAGGACACUCCGGAGGCUAUGGGAAGAGACGUUAAAAGAACUGCUAUACUCGGACAAUAUAUUUUUUUAUGUGAUGAGGCAUUUGUCAAGUUGGCGACGACUAUCUGAAUCUGACGUGUCCGAAACGCUUUCAAAUAAUCUCCCUUGCCAUUAUGCAAUGAUUGAGAACCUGUCAACCUGUCAUCAAUCAUAACAAACCUGUCAAGAGUAUUUACAUCAUGAUAAGAAAAAAAAAAUGUACAAAGUGUAUAAUUUUUCAAGAACAUAAAAUGAUACGAACAGAACCUACAAUUCUUUAUUUUUUCAUAUGAUUAGUAGAUUUGUAUUCUAUAUAUUAAUCUUGCCAAGUGAAAUAUCAGGCCUACACAUGCA